rnacentral:lncRNA from 1 species
GCUUAGUGCAGUGGUCUGGUUCACAAGCGACUAACACUGAAGUCAAACAUUGUACCGCCUUUGUCAGCAAACAUUGAUCAGUCGGUUCCGGGUUAGUUUAUGCUUCAGUUUGUUGAUUAUAAAUAACCAACCAAGAUAUNUGGAGACUAGACAUUUGACUUAGCUUGGCUUUGAAACAAAUGACUUGUUAUGACUGGAUCAAUUCUUCGAUCGAUAAAUACUUUGCAAAGCUCCGUACGUGCUGACGCUUAGUGCACUGGUCUGGUUCACAAGCGACUAACACUGAAGUCAAACAUUGUACCGUCUUUGUCAGCAAACAUUGAUCAGUCGGUUCCGGGUUAGUUUAUGCUUCAGUUUGUUGAUUAUAAAUAACCAACCAAGAUAUAUAGAAAUAUCUUGCUUCAGGGGUUGCACUGAAAUCUUUCGAGUACUUGGACAACAUCUUCAUUGCUUCCACAAUCUUGAAUACUUCAAUCUUUA